CGGCGCGCGGCCGCGCCUGGGUCCCCUCCUGCCUGCGCCGCUGCGGCCGCUCUGGAGGCGGCUUUGCGCGGCUGCAGCCCCGCAUGCCGAGCCGAGCGGCCAGCAGGGAGUUCAGCCAAGUUAUCCCGUGUGCCUCGAAAGAGAUGGCUGCUGGGAACAUCUCCACUCUAUUUCGCGGGUCUUUGGGUCCCGAGUGACCCCUCUAGGCCAGUUGCCUCCGCACACUGACCGAGAUCGCCCCGGCGCUCGCCCCUUCUUUCCCUUUGGUUAGGGAAUUCGCGGCGAGGCGCGGGGAUCCAUCCGAAACAGAAAACUAGUUUUUCCCCCUGCCGGUGACUGCGAGGAACUGCCGGCGGCGAAACAAACCUCCGGGCAACCUCCAAUCCGUGAGCAACUCCACCUGCAGAGAGACAAAGACCAACUGGCUUGAAGGGGACACAAAACAGAGUUCGAGGUCAACAGAAGAACUGGAAAGUUAGGGGGAUAAUCCACAGAGGCAUCCCUGGAGAGGGAAUUCAGACAAAAGAAAUUAAAAGCACCAGCAUAUACAAGAUUUUUGCCGCCACAUCCUUUGAACAAGCAAAGUGCUGAAAAAAAUUUGAACGUUCAUCAAUAGGAAAAUGGUUAAAUAAAUUAUGGUUCGUUACACUUUGUACUACUGUCAGCUAUUAAAAAGCAUGUUUGAGAACUAUUUCUAUUGACCUGGGAAGAUGUCUGUGGCCUGUUGCUAAGGAAAAGGGCAAGGUAUGUAGUAAGGGACUAACAUUCUAUUUUUGGUUUUGGUUUUUUGUGUAUGUUUUGUUUUUUUGUUGCGUGUGUGUGUGGGUGUUGUGAUUGGGAG
rnacentral:lncRNA from 1 species